GAGGUGAAUCGAACAAAUGAAUAAUUAUUUAUAUCUUUUUCAAUUGCAAUAGCAAUAUUCAUUCUAUGAUAUUACUAAUAUAAACCUUGUGUAUAUUGAAGGAAACUUGUAUUUCAUUAUAAUCUAAACGAUUCCAUAAUUUAUUUGGAGAUAGAGUAAAACUGCGUGCUCUUAACCAAUUGUCGGAACUGUAACGACUACACAAGAUUCGUUAAUAAAAACCCAGACUCUGUAACACAAUAGCAUGCACCUUUUUAUUCUCUUUCUCUAUGAGAGCUGCAGCGGCUUCUCCAUUCGCUCCAAGCAGCUCCGACCACGAGCUCUUACCUGCAAAUUUUCAAUUUUCUUGAAGUUUCAUGCCAUACACAAAAUUGAAGUUAAAAACAGAAACUCAAUAAAACUAAUAAAUUACCAGGUCGACAAAUAUAAACCAUUGUCUUUGCUCUAUUGGUAUCUUCCUCUCUCCAUUUCCAAUAAGUUUGAUUAAAACUACAGAAAUGACGGAUUUAUACAGAAGCUUUUAAAUUUUUAGCAGCAGAGUUUUUGCCCAUUUAUAAUAGGAAACGGAUAAAACAAAAAAAGAAAUGUUUUAAAACGUGCCCUGCUAAUUAUAUUAGUUGCUUUGUAAAAUCUAUAUAUAAAUGUGGGAAUGUGGGAAUGGCGGAGGGAGAAUGCUUGUCUCCAGGUCAUAAAUAAAG
rnacentral:lncRNA from 1 species